CUGCUCCAUUAUUCCUCCUCAUAAGUCUUGAUGCCUUGAAUUGAAUCAGCAACCCACUCGGCCUCCGCAAACGUUGCAUUGUAUGUAUGUAUCUUCACAUCAAAAUCCUCCUCGUGUUUUGGCCUCACCUACCUAGGCAUUAAAUGACCCACAUGACACCUGUCUUUUCUUUUCUUUCCCUUUUUGCCAUGUUUCUCAUGGAAUCGAGAUUUCGUUACAGGUCGAUUCCAUC
rnacentral:lncRNA from 1 species